rnacentral:lncRNA from 1 species
ACUGCUCCAAUGGAAAGCUUGUAAACCUGGAAGCAUAAAUUGCAAUUUUUUGAGCUGAGGUAGUUCAUCCUUGGCCUUCAAUAAUUACCAACAUAACUGUAUCACUUUAAUUGCACAUUCCUAGUUUGGACAAACGAAACUGACUUGUGUAUUCAUUUACUUUGUCAGUUAGCUGUGGUUUAUUACUCAAUGUUAUGUCACCAUGGUUAGGUCCCAUCAUUAUUGAUUGUUAAAAUGCUUUGCAUGGUAGUACUACUACCAAUGUUAAAAUAUCUUAAAAUAAUGACAAUCUGAAAGGACAUGCUUGGUAAAGGGUCUUUGAAAGAUGAUAGACUUUGUUGAUAAGUUUUAUGGGUGAAAAAAAAUUAAAGAAUGAAAAUAAGAAAGUAGGAGUAAUGUAAUAAACUAUUAACACCAUUAUAAAAUGCUUGAGCACACAUAACCUGGUUGAUUUCUACCCAUUUAAUGCUAGUCUAAUUCUUUCUGAUAACUACAAAUGAUAAAGGAUAUGCUUGUUGGAGUUUGGCAUUGUUGUUUAGAACAAUAAACCACUAGCAACUGAUCUGACCACUUAUACAGCAUUUUAGAAUAAGAUUACUGCAUGAUCUGUGGAUGUUAAAGUGGUAAAGGUGCAUACAUGUAAUAUAGCAUUCUAAAAAUUUGGAUUCUGUAGAAGGCUUCUUAAUUGAAAAAGCAAGGGUACCUCUUUCUCAUUAUACAUAGGUAUUUGGAUCAACACCUUGGGGUAUCUUUUGUUUCUCUGCAGUUUCUGCUUCAUGACAUCCAAAUUGUACUUUCUAUAUUUUUUCUUCCCCAGCACUUUGACAAUUGCACAUAUAGUUGCCAUGACUACUCUUUCAACAAAUAGCAUGAUUGACAUAGUUGAGCACAGUAUGACUGCUAAUUUUAGGAGUGGUAUUAUCACUGGGGCCCGUAUUGAUUCCCAGGCAUAGCGCAGAUGGCUUGAAGCAUAUUCUGGUGCCCUUACAUCAGUCUCCUCAAAGAUUAGGUUUCUCAUGGUUGGUGGGGUUUCAGAUAUCAAGGAAUAUAAACCUAAUAAGUUGCUUGGGGGCUUAGACAAGUGCAGGAUGGGUCAGUGACUUGUUGCAGGCAUUGGGCAAGAGGGUAUGAUGAUUGUUGAAGGUGAAACAUUUAUAUAAGAAGGAAAUGCAAGGAAGGAAGGAAGAUGAUGAUGUGAUGGAGAGCUAUUCUUUUUGAGAGACACGUGUUGUUCAUGCACGUAAUGGUGCUGCAACGUAGCUACUUCAUAGCUGGAUAUGUCUUUUCUUGCCGACAAUUUGAUCAAGAGUUUACCGUCAAUGAUUUUGAUCACAGUAAGAAGUUGUUUUGUAUUCAGUCCAAUUUUGUGAGAUUCUGUUAUGUUGCUAGUAAUUAUUAGAUACAUGCCAACAGAGUCAAGCUAGCUUAUUUGGUACUUCGCUAUGGCUUAGGUACGGUCUUUUUGUUAAAUUAAUUUUCUCUUAUCUUCUACAUAUGCUGUUUCUUUCCUUUUGUGAGAAGGCAUAUUCAGCCAUAUAAAGUGUGUUGAUUUUCUUUCGUGAUUAAUUUGUUUGGGUAAGGUCGAUGAUAGUAUGUAGUACUUUGUAGUUUGCUACUAGAUGCUUUUAAAUUCUUUCAUGAAUCUUUCCUAAGCAUUAUUCACAAAAGCAAAUCAACAGAUUUCUCUAAGUAAAAAAAUGAAGUGAUGUAAACAAGAGGUGAGAGGAGGUAAUGUGUGCGAAGUAGAAGAAGAAUGGAGACAAUCCCUUGUUAGGAAAGAUUGACAUGAAUGCUGAAAAAUGGGAUAAAUUAAAAAAGGAGAGUGAGUUUCAUUUUAGUUUAUAUCACAGUUUAGAAGUUUCUUGAUGCCAACGUCUCUAAUGAUGCGAUGCUAUAAUUUUAAAGUAAAAAAUAUAUAAUAUCCUUUAGAAGCAUUUGACUGAUAAAGAAAGAGAAGUCCUUCCUUUCUGGUUUCUGCAAUAAAUUCCUUGCUAUAUGAGAUGGUUGCUAUCCUUUCCUUUUAUCUCAUGUAUUAAGAUAAAGUUUCUCUAGACCUACGAUUUUAUUUUACAUAUUCAUAAAACAUGGUAUUUAGUCUUUUUGUUACCUAAGUCAGUGAUAUUUUUGUAAUUUUUUCUUCUACAAACUUUUGAUUGCAAAGAAAGAAAACCUAAGCUGAAUGAUUUAUCAAGAUUGGAGUUUAGUGAAGCCAGUUUUAAAGGGCCGCUAUUCCAUAAAAAUCAUCAAAAGCACAGACGGUGCUUUCUAAAUAUUUUUAUAUCAUAGCUGAAAUUUCUUUACAAUAAUCUCAUUUUAUUAUAGUUGGUUUAUGCUCUCUGGUUUAAUAGAAAUGACCUAUGGCAUUGUCUGUGUGUGGCCCUGAAUUAUGGCAACUUUUCAUGUCUGACUCAGAUGGUGUGUAUUUACUCUGCGACAUGUUGCAGUCAUUUGGAUUUAUCAAAUUGUCUUACCUUCAAAUUUUGCGUGCACUCAAGUUCAACAUGGACAAUAUCUUGUACUUAAGCUAUACUGUCUGCUUCCUUGUCGGUGUUGUUUCUCUCAGAAGUUAUGACAGAUAAGGGGGUUUACGUUUCAAUCAUUGCUUUCUUCAUUUUGAAAAACUCAUCUCGCUCCUUCCAUUCGAAGUUGAAAUACAAUUUGAAUUACCUAAUUAAUAUUGUGUCGGUGACAAACGUAAUGGUGCUUCCAAAAUGUUUUGGUCGACAAGAUGGGUUAUGUAAGAUUGUUCCCAUUUUGAGAUAAUUAUAUGUUUUAAGUCUUUUGUGUCUUUGGUAAGUAUGAAAUGGUAGCUGUGGAACAGUAAAUAUUGGAAUUUAUUUUGCCUUUGUUGAGUUAAUUAUGUUGUUAGGACUUUGGCAUAGCCUUGGCAUAGGCUGAACAUAUAAACUUCAUUAGCACAUGAGACAUGAUUUGUUGUUGUAAGGAAUAAUUGAUCAAAGAAACCUCUUUUCCUUGUGUGUAUUGGUCUUGAUUAGUUUGAUUCAAAAUUAUGAACUGCAGAUGAUUUGUUAUAUUUUCAUUUUUAUGUAGUCAUGCGUCAUGCCCAUUCAUUGUUUUACCUUGUUUAGUGUUUCACAAUUCACCCACGUAUCUGACUUUCUGAGUUGUUAAUUGCUUGUAUGUUUCCUUGAUUUAGAUAUUAAUAUUAAUAUAUGAUAUAUCUUUCAAGGUAUUACCCAAGCCAGGCGAGAUAAUUCUACAUUAAAUUGGUUGGUCUAGUUUAAUUGUUGCAAGUCCUGAAGCUUGCAUUAUCAUGCAAAUUUUACUGUAUUGUGACACUUGUUAGAUGGUAAAGUAGUGAAAAGGGAAGAGUAUACUUCGAUGGUCUUUGUCUCCAUUCUGACCAACUUAUUUGGUUUCAGCCAUCGGAUGUUGAAAUAGAAAGGAAAAAUAAUAAAAAGAAUAACCCAGUUAAUAUUUCACUUCAGGGAUUAUAAAACUUUUGAGAUCUCUGAAGUGUUGAGCCUGGAGAAUAGGUUAGAUAAGUUGUUUCUGCUUUUGGAGAACUAUAUGUUGAAUUUUGUCCCUGUGGAGCAAUAAAUAUAGGUUUCAUGUGUUUGGGUCAAUUAUAUUGCAGCAUUAUGAGAUUGGCUUGCAUAUACCCUGACAUAAACUUCAGUAGCAUGCAAAUUGUUGUAGUGAGUGAUUAAUCAAAGAAACUUCUAUGCAUUUUGUAUGUCAAAGUCUUAAUUAUUCUGAUACGCCUCACACAAAACUGAAAGCUUCUGGAUUUUAAAAGUUUAUAUCAUUAAUUGGUCCUUAUUAUAGAGAUUCUACAAAGUUUUACAUUGGCUGUCAUGACUGCCUACCAUAACCUUCAUCUUUUAUCCAGGACUUUCAACGUAUAGCAUUAAGCACACAUAGGCAGGUUUUAAUGAUAUAGGAAGUCUGGUGUUUUCCCUUUGAUCCACAUUAACUGCUUUAUGUAUUGCGUGAACAUUUAAGCUUGCAGUUUUUAUUAUAUAGUGAUGCUUGUUAAAUAACAAACUUGUGUAACUGUGAUUUUCAGGUUAAGGAAAUCAGUUUUAUACCAUAUUUUGGAAGGUUCUGUACUUCUAUUUUGCACAUAAGUUAAGUUUGACACUGAUUGUAAUUUUGUAAUAUAAUAUUUUUCCUAUCUUUGCAAUUUAGCUUUUUAUGCUGCUCUGGAUGGCUGGAAGAUGUGAAACUUGUACAGGUAUGUGCUUAUUGGGCAAUGCCAAUUAGAAUGUAAAGAUAUCUUUAAAAUAAUCAUAUUAAGGGCCUUAUUAUCUUUUUAAAUUAUUAUCUUAAUGAUUAACCAGUAUUUGAUUUGUUGUGCCUAUACAUGAUUUAUUCUGGCUGGAUAUUCAUUGGUCAUAUGCAUCAAGCAAUCAUGCCAGUGAAAGGAAAGAGUUGUUGCUCCCCUCCUGCAGAAAAGUUUUUUGGUUAGUAUAUUAUGAAUUGCAAAGUCCUUUUUCAUUGACUAUUGGACUGAUCCUACUUUUUGUAGAGAAAGAUUUGUGUAGAGACGUAUGUAUGUAGAGAUAACCAAUAAAAUUUUGACAACACGUUAAAAAUUUAAUUUUAAUUAAAAUUUAGUUAUUAAUGAUAGCAC